AAAUGAAUUGACGGGGACCCGCACAAGCAGCGGAGCAUGUGGUUUAAUUCGAAGCAACGCGAAGAACCUUACCAGGGCUUGACAUCCCUCUGACAGGGCCUUAACCGGCCCCUUCUUCGGACAGAGGUGACAGGUGGUGCAUGGUUGUCGUCAGCUCGUGUCGUGAGAUGUUGGGUUAAGUCCCGCAACGAGCGCAACCCUUGUCGCUAGUUACUAACAUUCAGUUGAGGACUCUAGCGAGACUGCCGAGGUCAACUCGGAGGAAGGUGGGGAUGACGUCAAAUCAUCAUGCCCCUUAUGUUCUGGGCUACACACGUGCUACAAUGGCCGGUACAAUGAGAUGCAAAAUGGCGACAUGGAGCGAAUCACCAAAACCGGUCCCAGUUCGGAUUGCAGGCUGAAACUCGCCUGCAUGAAGUUGGAGUUGCUAGUAAUCGCGGAUCAGAAUGCCGCGGUGAAUGCGUUCCCGGGUCUUGUACACACCGCCCGU
rnacentral:rRNA from 1 species